CAAGGUAUGCAAGGUUCCUCUGUCCUCCGUCAGCGUCACUUUGCACAGGGCAAGCCUUUCUUUCCAGACUCAAUUCCACUAGCCCUGUUUCUGUGACACCCUAGUUACCCCAGGCGGUUACCAACUCUCUCCACUUUUUAAUUUACUUGUAUCCAUUCUGAGUGGUGCUUCGUGAGCUCCUUCAAGGGCAAAGAUCUUACCAUGAGUGAGACCUCCUACGCAACAGUUCUCAGCCAGAUCUUUGCCACUGUUUCGUGAUUCUUCCUGCCCCUUCUAAUAAGACUGUGUGUGUUCAUGACACAUGCAUGUUCACAGGCCACUCUAAGAAAUCCAGAAUGUUCAUCUUCUACCUGAGGAACCAGGAUCUGGACUCCUUGCUCUAAUAGGAGCGAUCAUGAUGCUUUCAGAUAAAUUCACACUGAAUUCUUACAAGCUUCUGUCCAGGGGAAAGCUGGCGGUGAGUGCUUGCUCUUUCCUCUUCAAUGAACCUGCUUUUCCAUCUUGGAAGAGGAUGAAAUGCACCUCUCAGAAUGCAAGUUUCCCUGCGGACACUAUCCCCAGUGGUGGAGUGAUGGAGAGAACUGAGAUGAGGUCAGGGAACAACUGAACUAAAAACUCACGAAAUGGAAGAGUAACAAUGUGAAGGAGUGUGCCACCACAUCUCUCUACUAGAGGUUUUCUGCCACCCAGUGAAUCUUUUUUUCACUGAGGAACCAUCAACUUUGACAAGGCACUUCUGAGCACAAGGAACAAGAGAGAGACAUGGUCUGGAAGGUCAAGGUUGGGCUGGAUCCAUGACAAGUUCACUUGACUCAUUCUGAAUUUCAGCAGGAGGGAGGUAUCAAAAUUAAAGAUAAGAUUGGACAACAACAGAAAAUUAAAUAUUGUGGCUGAGAAAAUAAUGGAUAAUCAGGAAAUCUAAGUCCAGCAAAUUCUCACACUUUAACAGAAAGAUUUUCAGUUCCUGAGAAAGAAACAAAUCUGACUACUGGAAAGACCUUCAGGGUGGGAAACUGUGCUGAGAAAGGUCUCAAAAUUUUUCACCAUUGCUCUCUGCUUGGACAUAGCCAGUUAGUGUUGCUCACAUCUCAAUAGACUUGUAAAUGCCAAAAUAACAGCGCCUCACCCGAGGAAUCCUUCUGACUUAGGUGGCUAUCCUGUCUUCAAUGCUGGCUGGACUGGAGAAUUCCCAGAAUGCUCUUGGACAUUGGAGUACUUCCUGCAGAUGGGAGGAGGUGGUCUGCCUGGGAGAAGCAAGUCACCUGGGUCACAUGGCACUUGACCUUCAAGACUAAACGAGAAGGAACGCCUGGUAGGAUGGGUGCUGUUUUUACGAAGUCCAGGAGGUCAAGCAAUGAGCCAUUGGGGUGAAUCACCGAACAGAACACUAAAGGGAGACUUUUGUUCCAAUCAUGAGUUUAGAGGAGAGUCUUAAAAUGGUAAGGACAAGUAAAUAUGGGGCAAGAAGCAUAACCGAGCCAAGAAAUGCUGGAGCAGAUGACAACUGAACAGUAGAAACCAGGCAGAGGCCAGCCCUACAGGGCCAGGGAGGAAAGAAACAGCAGACUGGAGAAAACAAUAAAAAGGGAGAAAAAGAAAUAUGGAGAUGGGGAGGAUGAAAUGGAAAAUAAAAACUCAAGGAAAAGGAUACCAUGUCUCCUUUUCAAAAAAUUUUAUUUU